rnacentral:rRNA from 1 species
UACGUAGGGGGCAAGCGUUGUCCGGAAUUAUUGGGCGUAAAGAGCGCGUAGGCGGUCCGAUAAGUCGGCUGUGAAAGUCAAGGGCUCAACCCUUGGAAGCCGGCCGAUACUGUCGGACUAGAGUCCGGAAGAGGCGAGUGGAAUUCCCGGUGUAGCGGUGAAAUGCGCAGAUAGUCGGGAGGAACACCAAUUGCGAAGGCAGCUCGCUGGGACGGUACUGACGCUGAGGCGCGAAAGCGUGGGGAGCAAACAGG